CAACAAAGGUUACUCAACUAACGUUACUCAAUUGUAGAAAGAGGGAAGGAAUGACAAUGAGACUUGAGUUUUCCCCUCACCAAGUGAAAGAAAGAAACAAAAGUUCAGCUCAGACUAGAGACAGCAACAUAGUCCAGUUAGAUUUCAGCGCUCUUGACUCUCUUUUUUUUUUCCUGAGCUGAAAUUUCCUGGAAUAAGUAGUUAACCACCAUGUUUUCCACAGCGGGUUUGUUGAAAAUAUUAACAUGGGAUGGAAACUAAACUGAAUUGACAGGAAAUUUCUCGUAAAUAAAAAAGUGAGAAGAAAAAACAAACAAAGCUGGACUUCUUUUGUUUUUUUGAAAAGCUUGACUUGAGAUCCAAGUCCUCGUCUUCCUCCGUACAACAUGGAAAUGGUUUUGGUUUUCAUUUCAGAUUUCUGAGUGAGUUAUUAGGUUAUGGUUCAGUCACAGAUAAAAGGGCUUCUUCUCAGCUCUUUUUCUUUCGCAGGUGGUAUUCAAGGAGGUUUUUUCAGAGGGUAAAUAGGGGAGGUUGUUCAAAGGGAGAAAAAAUGCAUUAUGAAAUCCAAUAAUUGAUCUCUAGUUGGCGAGCGAUAAUCGGUCUUCUUUAACAUUAUUAAAGAAACAGGAAAAGAAUUGAUUCUAAUGGUGAUGGAACUCAUACCAAUUGGGACCAUCUUAGCUGUGGUAACAAACCAGGUGAUUAAAACAGCUCAGGCUGCAAAGGAUGUUGUAAUUGAGAAGGAUAGUUUCAAGGUCCUCGCAAAGCAUCUCUUUGAUAUUGAGCCUGUUUUAAAAGAAUUGCAGCUUCAACAACUAAAUGAUUCUCAAGCAGCAAGACUAGCUCUGGAGUCUCUGGAAGCAGAUGUCAAGAAGGCAAAUAACUUGGUUGAGAAAUACAAAAAUCGAGGCCGUUUCUACUUACUUGUCAAGUGCCGGCACAUUGUUAAUGAGGUGCAAGAAGUUACAAGGGAUAUUGGAAGGUCUUUGGCUUCUUUGUCCAUUGCAAAUACUGAAGUACUUUCAGGGAUAUCUGAUCAGGUGAAUAGGCUACAGAGUGAGAUGCAAAGAGUGGAAUUUGAGACUUCACAUUCUCAACUCCAAAUUGUUGACAAGUUAAACCAGGGUCUUAGGGAUCAGAAAUGUGACCAGGGUUUUGCAAAUGACAUGCUUGAAGAAAUUGCAAGGGCAGUUGGGGUACCUGUUGAGCCUUCUGAAAUUAGCAAGGAGCUAGCAAGCUUCAGAAGGGAAAUAGAAGAAGCUGGCAAUAGGAAAGAACGAGCUGAAGUUCUCUUCUUGGAGCAAGUUAUUGAGCUGCUUUCUCAAGCAGAUGCAGCAAGAGAUUAUGAAGAAAUGAAGAAGCAGUAUUUCCAAAGGGCACAAGUUGUAGAACGAUAUGAUGCAAGGAAAGAAGACAUUCCUCCCCUUAAAUCUUUCAUUUGUCGUAUAAGUGGGAUGGUAAUGGUUGAUCCUGUAAGCCUUUGCACUGGUACUACAUGUGAGAGAGCUGCUAUUGAAGAUCGGUUUGAUCGUGGGCAGAAAACUGAUCCAGAAACUGGAGAUGUUCUUGAAGAUACUUCUUUGAGGUCUAACCUUCCACUCAGACAAUCAAUAGAGGAGUGGAGAGAACUGAAUUAUUGCCUUAAAAUCAGAGCUUGUGAGGCAAAGUUGUCAUCAGGUGUUGAUUCAUCUGUCCUGGAGGCCCUGAACCAAAUGCAGGAUCUUAUCAGAGAAAACACUAUAAACAAGGACUGGAUUUCCAUAGGAGGGCUUACUGAUAGUAUAAUCUCUAUCCUUGGAAGCUCACACAACAGAGAAGUCAAGAAGAAGAUUUUAAUCAUUUUAAAAGAUUUGGUGGAAGGGCAUGCAAGAAAUAAGGACAAAGUGAUUGGGCAUCAGGGGUUGGAUCACAUUGUUCCCUGUUUAGGACGUGACCGAAGCAUCUCAAUGGCUGCAGUUGAACUGCUAUAUGAGUUAUUGCAAGAUAGAUCCAAUUGGAAUGUGUCUGUUUGCCACCAACUCUCUCAGAAAUGCAGCGGAAUUCUUUUUCUUGUUACUCUUCUAAAGGGUCCAGUCAGGGAGUCAGCAGAAUAUGCAGAAAAAAUACUAAAUAAGCUUUUUGAUGUUGAUGAGGAGAACAUUUCUCGAGCUGCCCGGUCAGGGUGGUAUAAACCACUCAUUGAUCGCAUUGUUCAAGGGCCAGAGUCAUCAAGGAUGUCAAUGAUGAAAGCAUUAGUUACUAUGGAAUUGGUUGAUUCGAAUUUAAAACUCCUUGGUGAGGAAGGCAUUAUACCUUCUUUGCUUUCAAUGGUGGAUUCUGGCAAUCUUGAAUCAAAAGAGUUGUCCUUAUCAGUUUUGGUUAAACUAUGUGGUUGCCGUGCUAAUAAAGAGCUUAUUGCUGCUGCUGGUGGAGUUCCUCUUGUUCUGAAGCUAAUGUUCUCUCCCCAUGUACGUGCAAUUCUUAUAUUCAGAUGCUCUGAAAUUAUUGAGAAACUUUCUUCUGAAGGUGAUGGAAUUAAAUUCUUUGUUGAUGAAAAAGGGGUUCAACUUGAAAUGGAGCCCAUCAUCAUUGAUUUGUUGGCUUUGCAGCAGAAUGUUAAUUCAUCCAACAAUUACCGAAGGCCUGCUUUACGUGCACUUUUAGGAAUUUGCAAGUCUGAAGCUGGGCUGGUUAAGACAGCUGUUCUCACUGCCAAUGGUUUAUCUCUAGUCCUUCCUCUUCUUGAUGAUCCUGACUCAGAAGUUAGAGAAAUUUCUAUAAAUCUUCUUUUCCUAUUUUCUCAGCAUGAGCUACAAGGAGUAGUGGAAUACCUUCUUAAACCCAAAAGGUUGGAGGCUCUAGUGGGGUUUCUUGAAAAUGGAAACAAUAGUGAUGUCCAGAUGGCUGCUGCUGGUCUAUUAGCCAACCUCCCAAAAUCUGAAGUACCACUAACUAUGAAAUUAAUCGAGUUGGAUGGACUUCAUGCAAUCAUAAAUCUUUUGAAAUCAGGGACAAUGGAAGCAAAAGAACAUGCUUUAAGUGCUCUCUUCCGGUUUACAGAUCCCACUAAUGUUGAGUCACAGCGGAUUGUGGUUCAACAAGGAGCUUACCCUUUGCUUGUAAGUUUCCUCAGAGUUGGUACAGUAACAGCAAAGGCAAGAGCGGCAGCUCUCAUUGGUAAUCUAUCCAUGAGCAGUCCUAAGCUCACUAUUGUGUCCAAAAAAACUGGUUGCUGGUGUUUUAGAAAAUCACGUGUUCCUUUAUGCGCAGCACAUGGUGGUAUAUGCAAUGUAGAAGAUUCUUUUUGUCUGUUGGAAGCAGAAGCGCUGCCGUACUUAGUAAAACUCUUACAUGAAGAAGUUGAAGCAACUGCUUAUGAAGCAAUUCAGACGCUUUCCACAUUGGUUCAGGAUAGCUGUCUGCAAAAAGGAGUCAAUGUCUUGCAUGAGGCUGAAGCCAUAAAGCCUGUGUUAGAGAUUUUGAGUUGGGGAACAGAUUCUCUGAAGGAAGAGGCACUGGGGCUCCUGGAGAAGGUUUUUGUGUCAAGGGAAAUGGUGGAAAUCUAUGGAUCGAAAGCUAGAUAUCUUCUGGUUGGUUUAACUGGCAGGAAUGUUCACGAUGAUGGCCGUCCAGGGAGAAAGGUUGCAAAAGUUUUGUCACUUCUGGAACGUUAUUCAAAAUCAUCAACGUCUAUUAUUCCAGGAUUAUUUUGAUGAGGACAUAUGUUAUCGAGUUAGAGAAAAGUUUAAGCCAACUUUAUCGUGAGCUUUUGCUUCUUCUAACCCAGAGAAUUUUUCCAAUCUGGUUCACAUACUUUGUGAUGCAAAUUGCUUUUGGCAUGCUCUUUGUGAAUACCAUUAUUUGAUAAUGACAUGGAGCAGUCUCAGAACCUUUUACUCAACAAGUGUCAAGGGAUAUUAGGUCACCUUUAUGUAAUGCAUUGUGCACCUGGUGCACUCUGUUUAUAAUGCAAUACUUAAUUGGUUGAAAAUGUAUGUUUUCUAAGUCAAAAAUAGAGGAAGCGGAAUCGUGAGGUUUAUACCAACUUCAUGUUCCCACCAACUAGAGAGAUUAAGGAAAAGAAAAUGGUAGGAAGAAGGCAGUGCCUAUGUUUCUAUUCGAUAGUAUUGCCUGUGCCUUAAGGCGAAGAACAAUCUUGAUUGGUGGAGUGUGAAACUUUUAAGGUCAAUGAAUGAUGUUCCCUGAUAAGAGAGUAUCGGUGAAGUUUCUUGUCGAUCUUUAGUUUCUGCUAUGGUAAACAGGAUGCCACUACAUAAAAAGCACUAGAUGGACAUAUGCUUCUUCAACCAAAAAAGGAAAACAAAAGCUCAUCAACAUGAACAGAAGGUUUGAUUUAAGAGGUUAAAUGUGAUCCGGGAUGUGGAUCAUGUAUUGGAAGAAUCAAUAGGUUUUCUUUGAUUUAAUUAUUUCCAUCUGCACUCUCAUUUCAAUGUCCAUAAAAUCAACUCCUAGCUUAGUUAAAUGCAGCCAAUGACUCAAGAUCACUCUGGUUUUAUUUUUUUGAAGAUGGAAAAGCAGUUCUGGUUUUAUUUUUUGAAGAUGGAGCAAACUUAUCCUUCUUAGCCUAAAGUCAUAGACAAUUUCUUCAAAUUCUAAUAUUCCAGAGUAACAUGACAACCUUGAUGCUGGCAUCAGUUCUACCAAACUACAACUGUCAGCUCCUGUCAGACAGAUUAUGGCAUGGACCUUCAAGUUAUAGCUAUAUAUUUUUUGAAACUAGUACACGUUCAUCUUUCUGUACAUACAUUUCCAUGGAUACAUAAUCAUUGUGAAAUUUACAGGAACUGAUUCCUAAUGCUCAUCGAUUACACUUGACCAACAUUUUGCUGAGACCCCAGCUGAAGAUGGAGCUCAGAUUCUUCAUGAACAACAAACUUUAACCUGAGAGUCAAACCGGCUACACCACAUGGCCUUGGUAGAAACAAUACCGACAAUGCGCAUUUAAGGUUCCAUUUAAUGUUAUGGAAGAAAUUGUCCCAGGUCUCUUGUUUCUUGCUUGAAUUGUCUAUCAAACUCUCUGAUACGAUCAUCUUGGGUGAUAGAAGUGAGCAGAAGGCAUUCAAAUACACUGGAAUUACUUGCUUUAAUCCAGGUUCCUUCUCAGAUGAUAGCACAUUUGUUGCAUCUCGUCCUUGCACUCAGGAAGUUGAGUUUUCAGCCUUGUGAGUUUCAAAAGUUUCCUUUAGAAUGCAGAGAAUUGAACAUGCGAAAAAGGAAAUGCUAUCUUUUUUCAUUGGCCAUUGACAAAAUUGUUGAGGUUAAGUUACUAAUGUCAUAGCACUCGCUUAU